CAGGUCUGUAGCAAUACAGAUGCUGGCGACCGGCAAACGGGUGCGGAACACGUACACAACCUUCCUUUGAGCGGGGAAUAGCCCGGGGAAACCCGGAUUAAUACCCCAUAGUAUAAUGACUGGGCAUCUGGUUAUUAUUAAAGAUUUAUCACUUAAAGAUGGGUGUGCGGCUGAUUAGGUAGUUGGCGGGGUAACGGCCCACCAAGCCGACGAUCAGUAACUGGUGUGAGAGCACGACCAGUCACACGGGCACUGAGACACGGGCCCGACUCCUACGGGAGGCAGCAGUAAGGAAUAUUGGUCAAUGGACGAAAGUCUGAACCAGCCAUGCCGCGUGGAGGAUGAAGGUCCUCUGGAUUGUAAACUUCUUUUAUCUGGGACGAAAAAAGGGAAUUCUUUCUCGUCUGACGGUACCAGAUGAAUAAGCACCGGCUAACUCCGUGCCAGCAGCCGCGGUAAUACGGAGGGUGCAAGCGUUAUCCGGAUUCACUGGGUUUAAAGGGUGCGUAGGUGGGUUGGUAAGUCAGUGGUGAAAUCCCCGAGCUUAACUUGGGAACUGCCAUUGAUACUAUCAGUCUUGAAUACCGUGGAGGUCAGCGGAAUAUGUCAUGUAGCGGUGAAAUGCUUAGAUAUG
rnacentral:rRNA from 1 species